GUGCCUACUGAAUGUAUGGACGCCUUGUUGGAACUUCAUAUUGUGGCUCAAACAAAUAAGAUGCUCCAUGCUUUGAAGUUUAUCUCAUUUAAAGGGUCACAUUCUAAAAUGCUUUUCAUUAAGAAGCUACUUGCCAGUUUUUCAACACUUGAAAGGGUUAUCAUUGUUCGUGACAAAAAUUACUGCAAAAAGGACUCUACUUGAAUUAUGCAGGAGCUUUUGGAUCUUCCCGUUGCCUCCACAAAAACGAAAAUUGUUAUUGUCUAGUUGAUGGAAUGAAGCCGAAUGGUGACAACAUUGUGUCCCGAUGUUUUGGAAGUAACGGCUUAGUUUGGCUCACACAAAA